rnacentral:tRNA from 1 species
GGGCCUGUAGCUCAGAGAAUUAGAGCACAUGGAUAUGAACCACAGUGUUGAGGGUUCGAAUCCAUCCUCUCCCA